rnacentral:misc_RNA from 1 species
GAUGAAGAACGUAGCGAAAUGCGAUACGUAAUGUGAAUUGCAAAUUCAGUGAAUCAUCGAGUCUUUGAACGCACAUUGCGCCCCCUGGUAUUCCGGGGGGCAUGCCUGUCCGAGCGUCAUUGCUGCCCUCAAGCACGGCUUGUGUGUUGGGCCCCGUCCUCCGAUCCCGGGGGACGGGCCCGAAAGGCAGCGGCGGCACCGCGUCCGGUCCUCGAGCGUAUGGGGCUUUGUCACCCGCUCUGUAGGCCCGGCCGGCGCUUGCCGAUCAACCCAAAUUUUUAUCCAGGUUGACCUCGGAUCAGGUAGGGAUACCCGCUUAACUUAAGCAUAUCAAUAAGCGGAGGA